rnacentral:lncRNA from 1 species
UACAACUCAAAUAUAGGCCCAAGCCCGAGAAUCAAACCCUUACCUGAGGCUGGCAAUGAAUGAUUCAGAGAAGACGGGAGCCGCUGGAGAUUUUCUAAAAUAACCAAAACCCAAAGAACAGAAAACCCCAAAACGGCAAGAUCAUAGGCUUCCCAAUCAUGCCUUUGGAAUAGUGUUCUGCGAGCUACCACCAACUAAAUCUCGCAUGGUAUGGACAUGAGGGAGCUAGUAUCUUGCUUCUCUACCAACCUGCAACCAGGGAGAUCAACAUGCAACUACAAGAGGAAGAUUCACAUUCACAUACUUCUGCAAACCCACCAAGGCUGAAGCCUUGCUGAUCCUUAAAAAGAGUCAGCACCAUCUGCUCAAAACAAAACCUAAAAUCACUAUUUACAACCCCCAAUCGAUAGUGAGGAGGACAAAACCCACAUGUUUAAUUUAACUUUCUUUGUCUUUUAUUUAUUGACUUUACCUGAGCUGUAUAUUAUUUCUGGGGUUGGUAAGAUACAGAUACUCUCCAACCAGAAAUUUAUUCUUUUAAGAGAAUCAUAUAGGCCAGCUUUCCCUAUAAUUCUAUGUGCCUGUUUCUCUAUAAAAUAAUCCCAAAUUCCAACCAAAAAAAAACUUGAACCGGCUGGACCAGCUCCAUUUACAUAGCUAUAUAUUUUAAUCUCUAAGAGCCUGAAUGCCAGAGUUAAUCCUGUCCCUCUCUCCAUGCAUAAAUAGAAGUUAAUUCCCAGCAGUUUUGAUUAUGUAUUGAUUAUGGAAAAAAAAAAUUCUUUUCCAGUAUUGAUUAUGUAUUGGAGCUCUAAAAUGACAAACAUCUACUCACCUCCAAUAUGUGAGCAUCAAGCCUAGGUUAAUGAACUCUUUUGAUUAUUCUUGAAAAUAAUUGAUCAAGAAUUAAUAGGCAAGCAUUCCUUUCAUUUUCACAUAACUGAAUUCAGUCCUAAUGAAUAAGGUGUUAAUUCUAGAAUCAAAUUACCAUAAGUGAAUUCUCUAGAUUCUAGCCCAUAUUAUACAGCCAAAAAGGAAAUGGAGUUAUUAGGUAGUGCAUGAAAGCUGGUUCAUCACAGCUGUUUGCAAAUAUCUCAAGAAAAAAAAAAGAAGAAAGGAAAACUACAACUAUAGUGGAAGAAAGAGUACUAAACGACAGUGGAGGAAGAACAAAAUUGUCAUAGCUAACUGUGAAUUUUCGUCUUAUAAAAAAAAAAAAAAAGGUUCUCGCGAGACUUCUUAGAAUUCAAAAAAAUAUAUAUAUAUAGAUAAUGUUUUUUGUAUUUAUAUUUAUAAUAUACUAUAUAGUAAAUAGACUAGUAUAUCAAUAUGAGGCGGUAUGGGCAGACAAGCUGUCUCUGGUCGAAGCAGGAGGAUGAGGAACAAGAAAUUCUCCCUCACUCAACUAUAGCAAGAAAUAAAUUCAAACCACAUCAAAACUUUCACUGCAUGCAUAACAAAACAUCAAAAAAGAAAAACGAAAACCAAACAAAUAGAGAAAAGACAUUUUCCUACAAAUGGAUGUAUAUUCUACACAUUGAACUAAGAAUAAACUAAGGAUCUGGGUUUCUUGAAGUCAAGUGGACUGUUUUGAUGGAGUGGAAGAAUGGGGUUCCACCACUUAAGCUGACAUUUAUGUACUAGAAUCUUAAUAAGUGCUUGAAAUACAAUGACAAAACAACUGGGUCUAAUAUCUAACAUACAGUUCUGCCAAAUAAUAGAUACAUCAUAGUUCAUGUUUAUCACAGUCAGGGUAAGAUGGAAUACAUGGCGUCAAUGGUGAUGUUGACUAAACUGUAUAAUAGUAAAUAGUGAGAGAGAAAGAGAGAGAGAGAGAGUCAGACCAUUAAAGGCAUUCAGUGUUGCAUAUGGUUCAGACUCAGAAAUUGAUGGCAGAAUAAGUGAAAAGGGAGGCACAGACACACCACUCUUCAUCACAAAUUAAGGGCAACCCUUCCUGUCAAUUAAAAGACCCAUCACUUUUGUCCUGUUGGUGACGCUUAAUCUCUUUCACCUUUUCAAUCAUAACAUGUUUUCUUUUACUCUAUUUCUUUCUCUACAGUUUCUGUUCUUUUCCUUCAUGGAAAUCGAGAAACCACAGCUCCCUUGCUAAAGAAAGCACUUAAUUUCCAAAAAGCAUGACAACUAGAUUCAUAAACCAAAGCUCACCGGCACUUUAAUAUCCUUCUUUUUGGGCUUGAGUGUAUUUGCGCUCAUUAUCUACAUUUUGCUAACCAACAAAAUUUUCUAUAACAAUUUCAAAUUAUCAAACUUUCCUCUCACAUGCUAAGGAAUGAAAUUGAGAUUUUCUCACAGAAUGCAGGAGGAAGGCAGCCGAAACUUGAGAUGGAAGCUGCAAGCUGCAAGCUGCUAUCCUACAGAGAUUAUUACAGAAUAUGUACAAACCAAACCACAUAUAUAGAUUUUCAUAUCAAAUAAUGGAUUGCCAUUGCUGCAAAAUUACAGUUGCGGGAUUUUCUUUGAAUUUACCUUUCUUUAAGCAGCGGAAAUAGAAUAAAGAUUAAAGCACAAGCAUCACAAAAGAUAAUCUUGGGAUCACAUCGACAAAUAUAAGCAAGUUGAUGAGAGAAAGGAUAUAAGGAAACGCAAUAAAGCCACUGUUUUGCGCAUACAAAACCUGAUCAGGAUAUGUAUAAUAGAACCCUAUUAUGUUCAGAUAUUAUUCCAGUAACUUCAAAAUCCUGAUGAGUUGAGCUAGCAAACGAUGU